GUUCUCUUCUCGUGCUGUUUGACGCGGGUGUGGUGCUGCGCGUGAGGUGUCGCGCUCUCCUGUAUGGAGAACAUGCAGGACAUGGCCGUAGUGCUGGAUGUGAUGCUGAUGGGGAAAUUGUUCUACAGCUUGUACUGCCCUUCUGGCACAUGAGUGAAUUUAAACAAUCCUGUGACUGCGUUGGACCUCAAGCCAGCUGGGUUUCCUCGCUGCCUUGGCCUUCAGCACCUAUGCAACAACAAAAAGUUUCUGCUGUAGCGGAGGAUCGCCUCCUUAUCUCUGGAUUCAGCAGCUAAGCUUGCUGUGAUGGGGGAGUUGUAUGACUCGUGAAGUCGUGACAGCGGUUUCUGCUGCAGUAAAGGAUCGCCUCCUAAUCCCAAACUCUAGCAGGGAUUCAGCCACAAAGAAUCCUGAAACAAUCCUGGAGGAGAGAAGAGUCAUCAGCAGCCCUUCGCUGUAGAUCGAUGCCGAGCCAUCAGUAACCAGCUGAGAGCACAACGGUCAGCAGUUUGAUCAGCUGUCCCCUGCUCCGGAAUAACGACAGACCUUUGUAAUGGCAGCUGUGUGUGUGUGUGUGUGUGUGUAUCCACAGCAUUAAAUUUUGCCUUGUCCUUUGUCUAUUGUGUACCUGAUAAAUAAAAUAUCAACAAUUAA